rnacentral:rRNA from 1 species
AUGCAGUUUAUUUAUAUAUUACCUGGCUGGGAGGGUUCGGCACAUGAUGGUCGUGUUCUUAGAGAUGCUAUUUCGAGGUUGGAUGGGUUUCGAGUCCCUCAAGGACAAUACUACCUUGUUGAUGCUGGCUACACAAAUGCAAAUGGAUUUUUAGCUCCUUAUCGAGGUCAAAGGUACCACUUAGGUGGUUGGACUGCACAAAACCCACCACGCAGCGCAGAGGAAUAUUAUAAUAUGCUACACGCUAGAGCUAGAAAUAUUAUUGAGAGAUGCUUUGGAAGACUCAAGGGCCGGUGGGCGAUUUUGAGGUCUCCAUCAUAUUUUCCUAUCAAAACUCAUUGCCGGAUUAUAAUGGCAUGCGCUCUAUUACACAAUCUGAUUUUACAAAAUAUGGCUGAGGAUCCACUCGCUGGUGAGGAUGGGAUGAUGCAAGAUAACAUGGAAAUCUUGGAGGGAGAGAACGAUGAACCUGAAUUUAUCACUCAUAUAUCAACAUCUAAUGAGUGGACUAAUUUCCGGAAUACUCUUUCUCAAGGGAUGUAUAAUAGCUAUAGAGCUAGAGGCCACUAA